rnacentral:rRNA from 1 species
GUACGGGUGCGGAAUACGUGUGCAACCUGCCUUUAUCUGGGGGAUAGCCUUUCGAAAGGAAGAUUAAUACCCCAUAAUAUGUUGGAUGGCAUCAUUCGACAUUGAAAACUCCGGUGGAUAGAGAUGGGCACGCGCAAGAUUAGAUAGUUGGUGAGGUAACGGCUCACCAAGUCUACGAUCUUUAGGGGGCCUGAGAGGGUGACCCCCCACACUGGUACUUGAGAACACGGACCCAAAAAAAAACCUUUUCCCCUUUAACGGGGGGAAGGGGGCAGGCAGUUGAGGGAAUAUUGGACAAUGGGUGAGAGCCUGAUCCAGCCAUCCCGCGUGAAGGACGACUGCCCUAUGGGUUGUAAACUUCUUUGGGUAUUAAGGGGAUAAACCUACCCUCGUGAGGGUAGCUGAAGGUACUAUACGAAUAAGCACUGGCUAACUCCGUGCCAGCAGCCGCGGUAAUACGGAGGGUGCAAGCGUUAUCCGGAUUUAUUGGGUUUAAAGGGUCCGUAGCGGAUCUGUAAGUCAGUGGUGAAAUCUCACAGCUUAACUGUGAAACUGCCAUUGAUACUGCAGGUCUUGAGUGUUGUUGAAGUACUGGAAUAA